CCAAACUUGGUCAUUUAGAGGAAGUAAAAGUCGUAACAAGGUUUCCGUAGGUGAACCUGCGGAAGGAUCAUUACAAAUCAGUUUGGGUGGGUUGGGGUUUGGUUGGGCGUAUGGGGUUUGGAGGGAGAGGAAUGGUUGAUGGGUAUGAAAGUGCCUGCGAUCUUUGCUCUCCACCCUGCCCCACUCUCCGACCAACCCAGAUCCGUGCCCACAUUUGCGCUUGAAGUGUUUGACAGAGUAAUUGUGAUUAUACAAAUAAGACAACUUUUAACAAUGGAUCUCUUGGCUCUUGCAUCGAUGAAGAACGCAGC
rnacentral:misc_RNA from 1 species